rnacentral:rRNA from 1 species
GUGGGGAAUCUUGCGCAAUGGGCGAAAGCCUGACGCAGCCAUGCCGCGUGAAUGAUGAAGGUCUUAGGAUUGUAAAAUUCUUUCACCGGGGACGAUAAUGACGGUACCCGGAGAAGAAGCCCCGGCUAACUUCGUGCCAGCAGCCGCGGUAAUACGAAGGGGGCUAGCGUUGCUCGGAAUUACUGGGCGUAAAGGGCGCGUAGGCGGACAGUUUAGUCAGAGGUGAAAGCCCAGGGCUCAACCUUGGAAUUGCCUUUGAUACUGGCUGUCUUGAGUACGGGAGAGGUGAGUGGAACUCCGAGUGUAGAGGUGAAAUUCGUAGAUAUUCGGAAGAACACCAGUGGCGAGGGCGACUCACUGGCCCGUUACUGACGCUGAGGCGCGAAAGCGUGGGGAGCAAACAGGAUUAGAAACCCGAGUAGUCC